rnacentral:rRNA from 1 species
GACGAACGCUGGCGGCGUGCUUAACACAUGCAAGUCGAACGGAAAGGCCCUGCUUUUGUGUGGUGCUCGAGUGGCGAACGGGUGAGUAACACGUGAGUAACCUGCCCUUGACUUUGGGAUAACUUCAGGAAACUGGGGCUAAUACCGGAUAGGAGCUCCUGCUGCAUGGUGGGGGUCGGAAAGUUUCGGCGGUUGGGGAUGGACUCGCGGCUUAUCAGCUUGUUGGUGGGGUAGUGGCUUACCAAGGCUUUGACGGGUAGCCGGCCUGAGAGGGUGACCGGCCACAUUGGGACUAAAAUAAGACCCAGACUACUACGGGAGGCAGCAAUGGGGAAUAUUGCACGAUGGGCGGAGGCCUGAUGCAGCAACGCCGCGUGCGGGAUGACGGCCUUCGGGUUGUGAACCGCUUUCACCUGUGACAAAGCGUGAGUGACGGUAAUGGGUAAAGAAGCACCGGCUAACUACGUG